rnacentral:rRNA from 1 species
CCUACGGGAGGCAGCAGUGAGGAAUAUUGGGCAAUGGGUGAAAGCCUGACGCAGCGACGCCGCGUGGAGGAUGAAGGCCUUCGGGUUGUAAACUCCUGUUAGGGGGAAGAAGCCCCGCAAGGGGUUGACGGUACCCUCAGAGGAAGCCCCGGCUAACUACGUGCCAGCAGCCGCGGUAAUACGUAGGGGGCAAGCGUUGUUCGGAUUUACUGGGCGUAAAGAGCGCGUAGGCGGUUUGAUAAGUCAUGGGUGAAAGCCCUAAGCUCAACUGAGGUUACGCCCAUGAAACUGUCUGACUUGAGUUUAGGAGAGGAGAGCGGAAUUCCCAGUGUAGCGGUGAAAUGCGUAGAUAUUGGGAGGAACACCGGUGGCGAAGGCGG